rnacentral:lncRNA from 1 species
GCUGGAUCUCAGUUGGAACCAGUUAACAUCUCUACCUGUCGACUUCUCAGCCAGUCUGUCUGCUCUCAGAGAGCUGCGACUGGAGCACAACAACCUACAUCACAUCUCUGGAUACAGCUUGGAGUAUCUGGACAACAUGGAGAAGCUGGACCUCAGUUAUAACCAGCUGGUGACCGUUGGCUCCGGCGUGUUCAGGGGCCUCUCCAGGCUUAGACACCUCUACCUGCACAACAACAAACUGACUGUGGUGCAGCAGGGGAGCCUGGAUAUGCUGCCUGCACUAGAGGUGCUCCAGCUGAGUAACAACAACAUCUCCUACAUAGAAAAUGAUGCUCUGGCCCCUCUCUACAGCCUGGCAGUCCUUGCUCUGGAGG